GAUGAACGCUGGCGGCGUGCCUAAUACAUGCAGGUCGAGCGAACAGACGAGGAGCUUGCUCCUCUGACGUUAGCGGCGGACGGGUGAGUAACACGUGGAUAACCUACCUAUAAGACUGGGAUAACUUCGGGAAACCGGAGCUAAUACCGGAUAACAUGUUGAACCGCAUGGUUCAACAGUGAAAGACGGUCUUGCUGUCACUUAUAGAUGGAUCCGCGCCGCAUUAGCUAGUUGGUAAGGUAACGGCUUACCAAGGCAACGAUGCGUAGCCGACCUGAGAGGGUGAUCGGCCACACUGGAACUGAGACACGGUCCAGACUCCUACGGGAGGCAGCAGUAGGGAAUCUUCCGCAAAGGGCGAAAGCCUGACGGAGCAACGCCGCGUGAGUGAAGAAGGUCUUCGGAUCGUAAAACUCUGUUAUUAGGGAAGAACAAAUGUGUAAGUAACUAUGCACGUCUUGACGGUACCUAAUCAGAAAGCCACGGCUAACUACGUG
rnacentral:rRNA from 1 species